rnacentral:rRNA from 1 species
CGAGCGAACGGACGAGAAGCUUGCUUCUCUGAUGUUAGCGGCGGACGGGUGAGUAACACGUGGAUAACCUACCUAUAAGACUGGGAUAACUUCGGGAAACCGGAGCUAAUACCGGAUAAUAUUUUGAACCGCAUGGUUCAAAAGUGAAAGACGGUCUUGCUGUCACUUAUAGAUGGAUCCGCGCUGCAUUAGCUAGUUGGUAAGGUAACGGCUUACCAAGGCAACGAUGCAUAGCCGACCUGAGAGGGUGAUCGGCCACACUGGAACUGAGACACGGUCCAGACUCCUACGGGAGGCAGCAGUAGGGAAUCUUCCGCAAUGGGCGAAAGCCUGACGGAGCAACGCCGCGUGAGUGAUGAAGGUCUUCGGAUCGUAAAACUCUGUUAUUAGGGAAGAACAUAUGUGUAAGUAACUGUGCACAUCUUGACAGUACCUAAUCAGAAAGCCACGGCUAACUACGUGCCAGCAGCCGCGGUAAUACGUAGGUGGCAAGCGUUAUCCGGAAUUAUUGGGCGUAAAGCGCGCGUAGGCGGUUUUUUAAGUCUGAUGUGAAAGCCCACGGCUCAACCGUGGAGGGUCAUUGGAAACUGGAAAACUUGAGUGCAGAAGAGGAAAGUGGAAUUCCAUGUGUAGCGGUGAAAUGCGCAGAGAUAUGGAGGAACACCAG